AUACUUUUUAUUAUAACUAGAUCGAUGAAUCUUUGUUUUCAUUUCAUCCUUUUUACUUGUGGCAUAGAUGAGGUCAGAAAUGAGUAAAGAGAUUGGUAACGCUCGGUUUUUGCUGAUUCGCCGCUGAUUCACCAUGGGCUGAUGGGCUCGAUGAAACGCGUCAAGCCAUGGACUUAGGAAUAGAGACACAGUGCAUAAACUACGUUUGUGACAGUGGAGGAGGGGGGGAUUUUUGUUACAAACUUAGUCCAUUUUUGAACAUUUUUCAAAAUAAUGCGUGCGUGUUGCUUCAAAGGCUGCAAAGAGAAUCGAAAUAGUAGUGGGAACAUGACUUUCUAUCAGAAAGUAAUAGUAGGAGAAUUACCCAUAAAAAAUGGGACUGGAUGAUGCCAAUGGAUUUCCAUCGUCCAAUCCCAUUUGUGAGGUCUCCUUUCCCACAUUUGGAGCAGAUUCCGAGCAGAAUUCCUGACACCAUUUGAUACACUAGACAUCAAUGGAGACACUGGUUUUAAGUGCAAAUAUCAGGAACGGUCAGGAGCCUAAGAGUUCUGCCUGUGGCUAAAGUGCUUCGAGCCGAAAGAGACGAGCACGAGAAAGUAGGAGUGGGACACAAAUAGGAUUGAAUGAUGCAAGUGGAUUUCAAUAGCAAUUUCCUAUGGCAGUGUUGCCAAUACACUUCGGUCCCCUCUUCAUUAUCUUGCAGCACAUUUUGGACAUGUCUCCGUCGCAGCUAAUAUAGUGAUACGUAAGUUUCUGCAAGCCUCUAAGGUCGCAGCGUGCCCCGUUAGCGAGAGUAUAAGUAGAAAUUGCUUUGCUCUCAUUGGUUGACGAUUCAAUGGUAAAACAGGAUUUAUUGCUCAUUGGAUAUGCAGUAAAAUGGUAGAAAUGCUUGCAAAAGCUAAGGGAGGUAGAAAAAUCGUGCCAAACUUGAGGUAUUACUGUAAUUCCAAGCCCUGUAAUUCAGUAUAUACAGUAAAUUCUCUCCAACUGUUUCUCAGCUUGUAAAAUAAUGGACAAUUUGGGAAGAGGAGAUACGAUUAUUUGAGCCUUGUGGCUCGUUUUUAUGGUUAUUAACAAUCGUAUCUCCUGUUCCCAAAUCGUAUCUCUCUAUAUAAGAGCGUCAUUUGAAAUGUACAAUGUAAUGUCAUGUGUCCAUUUGAGACUUUCUAUCGAUAGAUUUGACAGUUGCUCUUGGCAGUACUCUCAUGUUACAUGUGAGUGUCGACUAUUUGAUAGCUUACUACAGUAAUGGGUUCUACUCUUGAACACCUCUAGGCCACAGCUUGAUCCGUUAGCGAGGAUCAGUAUAGAAAUUUUGUUUGCUUUGAUUGGCUGACGAUUCACUGUUAAGACAGGAUGCACUGCGAUUGCAUGCGCAAUAAAAUGGUGGGUAGGAGCGCUCCUGCUUAGGAAAUAAAAAAAGCGCGCAGAAAUAGAUCUCAUUACUGUAUAUAUUUCGCACUCAGUAAUAAAAGACGAUCAUUAUACGCGCAAUAUUCUGCUUACGGAUGCAAAUGAGUUAAAAAGUACCUAUCUGUUAGUAUCAGUUUCUUUUCUUUCAAGCUAGGAAGCUACAGGCGAAAUUAAAUCGUGAUUAAGAAUACCGGAAAACUUAGUGUUCGAAUUAAACAGUUUUUAAAAUGUCUUCAUUUUCAUAUCACUUGUAUUUUCUUUCUGAAAUUUUUUGCAUUCCUCAAAAUGGAAGGUGAAAAUCAUAUUUUGUCAAAUAUCUCGAAAACUAAUGGAGAUAAUUUGGUAAAAAAAUGUUAAAUAUUCCGAAGUAUUUUAUUGUCGACGAAAUUUUUCUCACUGUUUGAAUGCAAGCACUAAAAAAUAGUAGAAGUUAUUACUAUAAUUACAAAGCAACACACCGCAUUAUUUUAUUAGUAUCUAACGGGUAAGUUCUUCAAAAUUGUAUAUCAAGGUUAUGUCAAGGUUAUAUUACAAAAGAAUAUUGGAGAUCAAUGAAUCAAAAUAUCAUAAUAAAGCUCAAAAGGAGAAAAACACAUAAUAGAUACGAAGACUAAAGCACGACCCUAAAAGUAUGUGAUAGGAGCCACUUUAGUUUGUAAGUAGUAUUAAGUAUUGGUAAAUAAGGAUGAAAUUGUGAUAAUCAUAUCCAUAUAGUGAUGGAAUUAAAAGCUUCCAUAUAAAACUCAUAAAACCAGAUAUAAGUAAUAAAGAAAUAGUGACACAUAAAAAUAAUGUAAAA